GAUGAACGCUGGCGGCGUGCCUAAUACAUGCAAGUCGAGCGAACAGACGAGGAGCUUGCUCCUCUGACGUUAGCGGCGGACGGGUGAGUAACACGUGGAUAACCUACCUAUAAGACUGGGAUAACUUCGGGAAACCGGAUCUAAUACCGGAUAAUAUAUUGAACCGCAUGGUUCAAUAGUGAAAGACGGUUUUGCUGUCACUUAUAGAUGGAUCCGCGCCGCAUUAGCUAGUUGGUAAGGUAACGGCUUACCAAGGCGACGAUGCGUAGCCGACCUGAGAGGGUGAUCGGCCACACUGGAACUGAGACACGGUCCAGACUCCUACGGGAGGCAGCAGUAGGGAAUAUUCAGCAAUGGGCGAAAGCCUGACGGAGCAACGCCGCGUGAGUGAUGAAGGUCUUCGGAUCGUAAAACUCUGUUAUUAGGGAAGAACAAAUGUGUAAGUAAAUAUGCACGUCUUGACGGUACCUAAUGAGAAAGCCACGGCUAACUACGUG
rnacentral:rRNA from 1 species